UAGUCCACGCCGUAAACGAUGAACACUUGGUGUAGGUGGUAUUGACCCCAUCUGUGCCGUAGCUAACGCGUUAAGUGUUCCGCCUGGGGAGUACGGUCGCAAGAUUAAAACUCAAAGAAAUUGACGGGGCCCGCACAAGUGGUGGAGCAUGUGGUUUAAUUCGAUGCAACGCGAAGAACCUUACCUGGCCUUGACAUGUAUCGGAAGACUUCUGGAGACAGAGUCGCCUUCGGGUCGAUACACAGGUGCUGCAUGGCUGUCGUCAGCUCGUGUCGUGAGAUGUUGGGUUAAGUCCCGCAACGAGCGCAACCCUUAUGUUUAGUUGCCAGCAUUUAGUUGGGCACUCUAGACAGACUGCCGACGUUAAGUCGGAGGAAGGUGGGGAUGACGUCAAGUCCUCAUGGCCUUUAUGGGCCAGGGGCUACACACGUGCUACAAUGGUAGAUACAGAGAGAAGCAGAGCCGCGAGGGUGAAGGC
rnacentral:rRNA from 1 species